rnacentral:tRNA from 1 species
AGGGGUAUAGCUCAGUGGUAGAGGGCUUGCUUAAUAUGCAGGGGGACCUUGGUUCUACUCCCAGUACCCAUA